GCUUAAGUAUUUUAAUAAAAAUGUUGUUUUGUGGGAUCAAUGAUAUGGUGUAUUGCCAUCUUAGGCC
rnacentral:tRNA from 1 species